rnacentral:rRNA from 1 species
UACGUAGGCAGCAAGCGUUGUUCGGAGUUACUGGGCGUAAAGAGUGCGUAGGUGGUGCCCUAAGUCUGUUGUGAAAUCUCCCGGCUUAACUGGGAGGGUGCGGUGGAAACUGGGGUGCUUGAGUGUGGGAGAGGUAAGCGGAAUUCCUGGUGUAGCGGUGAAAUGCGUAGAUAUCAGGAGGAACACCGGUGGUGUAGGCGGCUUACUGGACCACGACUGACGCUGAGGCACGAAAGCGUGGGUAGCGAACAGG